AAGAUAUCUUACAGUGGGUAAUGGACCACUGUCUACAGGGGACCUUCACUGACUUUUUACCUCUAGAGAUAACUCUGUUCUCUUUUUUCCUCCUACUUUUCAUCUAUCACUAAAAUCUCUCUCUCUGCUUCUCUCCCUGUCACUUCCCCUGUCACUAAAACCUCACUCUCUACCCCUGUUCCUGUCACUUCCUCAAAAUCUCCCAUGUGGCAGAUAGCUCUAGCAUUAUCUCUCUUUUUCUUUCUCAUUGUAUUCAUUGCAGCCUGUAAGUUCUCUCAGCCACCCACUCCAGGAAAAGAGCUCUUUUGCCCAUGUUGGGUGUAGUACCUCACCCCCCACAGUUAAUUAGCUAAUCAUGGGCAACCAGGGAUCCUGCCCUGACCCUAAGUCACCACUAGGGUGCCUAGUUCUAAACUUACCCAAGCUGGGCCUUUUAAUAAAAAAGAAAAUGCUGUUUUUCCUCUCCACUGUAGCCUGGCCACAGUAUCCCUUGGACAACCGUUCCAAGUGGCCUCCAGAAGGCAUGCUUGACUGCAAGGUCCUGACAGAUUUAGACAACUUUUGCCAAAGAAACGCCAGAAUAGGGGGUGGUGCCAUGGGUUACAGCGUCAAUACAGCUGCCCAACUAGAAGACAAACUUCGUGUGGCUAUUGAAGCAUCAGCUGCCUCUUUACCCUCACUCCAGCGACAACUUACUUCAUUGGCGCAGGUAACUCUCCAAAACCUAUAGGUCCUAGACCUACUAACAGCAGAAAAAGGAUGUACUUCUUUAUUUCUUCAGGAGCAGUGCUGCUAUUAUGUCUAUGAAACAGGCCUAGUGGAGGAAAAUGUCAACACCCUCUAUCUCCUCCAAGAAGACCUCCUAAGGAAGCAAAAUGCACCAGCUUCCUCUUCUAACUGGUGGCAGUCUCCCAUACUCACCUAGCUAACUCCUAUUAUCACCCCAAUCAUCGUGGUUUGUCUAUUACUAAUGCUAGCCCCUUUCCUUCUCAGGUUUUUAUAAGCCCGCAUAAGAGAAAUUUCCAGGGUAGCCAUAAACCAGAUGUUACUUCACCCGUACAUCCGGAUCCCAACCGAUGUACCAGCCAACUGACUUCCCCACUUCGCCCCCGUUCAGCAGGUAGUAGUCAGAAAGAAAUGGCGUCCUAUGUCAUCAAAAAGGUGGGGAUGUAAGGUCGAUAGCCUUGCUAAGAGAUGGAUGAACAACACCCACCCCUCUCUAUGCCUGAUAACAGUUUAUCAGGCAGAACACAUUACUCAGCAUCUGGCUCCUCCGUGCAGGCUCGCCCACUUCUGCAUUCUGCCCCCAGGUCUACAUUCAGCACUAGACUAUGCACUCCCAGCACCAAGCUAUGCAUUUGAACCUCAGCAAUAAACUGUGCACUCUCAGCACUAAACUAUACAGCUGAACCCACGAAAAUUGAAGAAAUCCCGCCAAGCCUUACCCAAUGGCAGCCCACCCCAUGCAUCCUAGGCCCGCCCCCUCUAACCCUCCAAAACCCCCUGCCCUGAGAAGUCAAGCGCGACUUCUCUGGCCCCUUUUUUUAGGACCACAGAACCUCUCCGGGGAGAUAAAUAAAUUGGCAUCUUAUUGUUCUUAUACUGGCCUCAGUUUCCUCAUUUUAAACUCGGCAGUAACCAUUACAGCUGUA
ensembl:lncRNA